UGCCGGCGACCGGCGCACGGGUGAGUAGCACGUAUGCAACCUGCCCGUCUCAGGGGGAUAAUCGUCGGAAACGGCGUCUAAUACCCCGUAUGAAGCUGGACGGCAUCGUCUGGUUUUGAAAGAAUAUCGGAGACGGAUGGGCAUGCGGCGCAUUAGCUGGUUGGCGGGGUAACGGCCCACCAAGGCGACGAUGCGUAGGGGUUCUGAGAGGAAGGUCCCCCACACUGGUACUGAGACACGGACCAGACUCCUACGGGAGGCAGCAGUGAGGAAUAUUGGUCAAUGGGCGAGAGCCUGAACCAGCCAAGUCGCGUGAGGGAGUACUGCCCUAUGGGUUGUAAACCUCUUUUGUCGGGGAGCAAAAGCCGGACGUGUCCGGCUGUGAGAGUACCCGAAGAAAAAGCAUCGGCUAACUCCGUGCCAGCAGCCGCGGUAAUACGGAGGAUGCGAGCGUUAUCCGGAUUUAUUGGGUUUAAAGGGUGCGCAGGCGGAUUUUUAAGUCAGCGGUCAAAUCGUGGGGCUCAACCCCAUCCAGCCGUUGAAACUGGGGAUCUAGAGUGUGCGAGAGGUAUGCGGAAUGCGUGGUGUAGCGGUGAAAUGCAUAGAUAUCACGCAGAACCCCGAUUGCGAAGGCAGCAUACCGGUGCACAACUGACGCUCAGGCACGAAAGCGUGGGUAUCGAACAGGAUUAGAUACCCUGGUAGUCCACGCAGUAAACGAUGAAUGCUACCUGUUUGGCCUGAUUGAAGGCUGAGCGGGACAGCGAAAGCGUUAAGCAUUCCACCUGGGGAGUACG
rnacentral:rRNA from 1 species